CCCGACCGUAGCGAAAGUGUUAAAGUGCGCCCCCCUGGGGAGUAUGGUCCCAAGGCUGAAACUCCAAAGGAAUUGACGGGGGCUCACACAAGCGGUGGAGGAUGUGGCUUAAUUCGAAGGCUACGCGAAGAACCUUAUCCAGGCCUUGACAUGUACGGAUGCUGCCCGUGAAAGCGGGUUCGUUGCUUCGGGUGAAACGUACACAGGUGCUGCAUGGCUGUCGUCAGCUCGUGUCGUGAGAUGUCGGGUUAAGUCCCUUAACGAGCGAAACCCUUGUCCCUAGUUGCCAGCGUGUCAUGUCGGGGACUCUAGGGAGACUGCCGGUGUUAAACCGGAGGAAGGUGGGGAUGACGUCAAGUCCUCAUGGCCUUUAUGGUCUGGGCUGCACACGUCCUACAAUGGCAUAUACAAAGGGAAGCUACCUCGCGAGAGCAAGCAAAUCCCAUAAAGUAUGCCCCAGUUCGGAUGCAGGCUGCAACUCGCCUGCAUGAAGCCGGAAUCGCUAGUAAUCGUGGAUCAACAUGCCACGGUGAAUAUGUUCCUGAGCCUUGUACACACCGCCCGUCAAGCACGAAAGUGGGGAGGGCUUAAAGUCGCUGA
rnacentral:rRNA from 1 species